rnacentral:rRNA from 1 species
AAUCAUGNUNGUCGAACGCACAGCGAAAGGUGCUUGCACCUUUCAAGUGAGUGGCGAACGGGUGAGUNUNNCGUGNACAACCUGCCUCAAGGCUGGGGAUAACAUUUGGAAACAGAUGCUAAUACCGAAUGAAACUUAGUGUCGCAUGAUACGAAGUUAAAAGGCGCUUUGGCGUCACCUAGAGAUGGAUCCGCGGUGCAUUAGUUAGUUGGUGGGGUAAAGGCCUACCAAGACAAUGAUGCAUAGCCGAGUUGAGAGACUGAUCGGCCACAUUGGGACUGAGACACGGCCCAAACUCCUACGGGAGGCUGCAGUAGGGAAUCUUCCACAAUGGGCGAAAGCCUGAUGGAGCAACGCCGCGUGUGUGAUGAAGGCUUUCGGGUCGUAAAGCACUGUUGUAUGGGAAGAACAGCUAGAAUAGGGAAUGAUUUUAGUUUGACGGUACCAUACCAGAAAGGGACGGCUAAAUACGUGCCAGCAGCCCGCGGUAAUACGUAUGUCCCGAGCGUUAUCCGGAUUUAUUGGGCCGUAAAGCGAGCGCAGACGGUUGAUUAAGUCUGAUGUGAAAGCCCGGAGCUCAACUCCGGAAUGGCAUUGGAAACUGGUUAACUUGAGUGCAAGUAGAAGGUAAGUGGAACUNCAUGUGUAACGGUGGAAUGCGUAAGAUAUAUGGAAGAAACACCCAGUGGGCGAANGCGGCUUACUGGACUGGAAACUGACNUUUNANGCUUUGAAAAGUUUGGGUUGCAAAACAGGAUUACNU